rnacentral:lncRNA from 10 species
GGGGAAUGAGGUCCAGCUGGCCCCCUUACCCUGCAGGGAGCCUGGGGUUCCUGGGGAGUGGGAGGAGGGAACCAGGAAAGGGGGUGUUGAGGCAGGGUGGAGGUGGCAUCCGGAUCUAGGCAGGUGCUGUGGGACUGGGCAGAGGGAAUCUAGACUCAGCCAGAAUGCAGCUGAUUUGAGGCUCUUCUCCUGGGAAUUGUGCUCUGAGGGUCCCUGUAUGAGUGGGCUUGGUUCUCCCUUCCUGGGGGUCUGACUCAUCUCAGCUCUCAGGGUUUCCCCCUAGGGACUAAGGUGCAGCAGGAUCAAGGGACCCAUUCCUCCCCACCAGGGUGCCCCGGCCCUCAGGAACCCCUUGGAUCAGCAGAAGAGACAGGUGUUCCAGGUGCAGAGUCAUGUGUGACUUCCUGGUCCUGCUGGGCCUCCAGGUGUGGCUGGAGAAGAUGGAGACCAAGAGAAGAACCCCAGAGAACCCAGUCAAUCUUCUCUCCACAUGAGAGGGCUGAGGGCUCUCCUGGACCCCCUGGGCUCAUCGGUCUAUGGAACAGCCUGGAGCAGUGGGAGCAGAUUGGGAGCCCGGAGCUCAGGGACCCCAGGGACACUUUGGAGCCAGAGUGUGCGGAGCCAAAGGCAAUAAAGGAACAAGAGGAUUCACGGACCUACAGGUGAGUUGCGGCUGGCGACGGGCUGAGAGGCAGGGUCAGGAUGAGGUGCUGUGUGUCCCAGACCCUGCUAGCAAUAUGCUUUGAGGACUGGGUCAGUGGGAGCAGAA